CACAUAUGUUAUAUACGUGCACAUGUUAAGAGAGACUAGUCUCUUUUAGACAUUGCGCAGUAAUUUAUUAUAUACAUAAUUCACUUUAGCACAGAGACAGUUUUACGCGUGACAUCGUGUCUUAAUUUUAUCGUAAUUUUUCUUCUGUUACGCAAAGCGAGACUACUUUACUAGCACACCGAUAAAUUUAGGCGCUUUAAACGGCACAACCCACUUGCGUAAAUUACGCAGCAUUCACAGAAUGGCAGAAGACGGCAUGCCGGAUGAGCUACAUUAGAAUCGUUAUUAUCACAGCAGAGCUAAUGGCCAGAUACAAUAAGAUGAUCCGCGUGCUCAUACCUUUCCACGGCUCAAAGGAGGAGAAAACUUUAAUCAAACAACCUGCUGGAUCAAGAUCGAGUGAUCGAUAAUUAAAGCGGCGCGAUACGAGAGCCUCAAAGUGGUGGAGGGCAGUCUCGCUGCUAGUCUAGAUCGGACUGUACCGCGACUUACAAGACGUUGAUGAGGUCUAUAUGAAAGAUGGGUCAGGGUCAUGCACAAUGCAACCGUGUACACACAACAACAAAACUUCCCGAUACCAUGCUGAAGCGCGAAGUGACACCUUUUAUUUCUUCAUAUAAAGUAAAAUCGAUAGAGGGUACAAUGAAUGCAGAAGAGGUUGCAACAUCCACUGGUUCAACAGCAACUCAAUAGCGAAUCCUGAUUUCCGUCAGCGUGCAGAUAUUGCUAACCGCCACGUAGACCUCAUUUUUCCUCAUUUGCAACAGAAUAAAGUGGAAGGUUUAAUCGUAAUGCCGAAGCGCAUCGGCUAAUGCUGUUCCGAAGGUUGCGAUCGAUAGAGACGACCUGACGUCACGGAAACGUCGCGGAAUUCAUUACACGGGCCAAGCCGCCCGCUUUAGCUGGGUGGGCUUAAAAAUUAAAAGGCUCUCAAACAAAAACUCCCUUUUUACUUUCAGCCUCGUGGGAUGUAAUCCCUCCGCCGCUAGUGGACCUCCCUGUGCCCGCCGGUUCCUUUCCCCCGAAUUUCGACGGUGGCCUGGAAACAAGCCCCGAGACUUCGUCCUCAGCAUCUUUACCUCGUCCGACGACGAGUAUCUCCUGUCCCGAAGCCGCGGAAUGGGCACGGUCGAUUCACCAAUCCACGCAAUGUACUUUUUCGCGCAGUCGAACGAACCCCUUUCGUCUUGUAACGCAUUACGUUCUGUUUGCGGGAGAUUUGGCACGCGAUACGGCAACGAAGGGUGAAUACUUUAUCGGAGCAACGGAUCUGUUCGAUUUCGCUUGACCGGACUAAAAGAAAAUUACGGAAAUAGAAACGAUAACUGACUAAUUUAUAUAAGAGCUUUUUGUGGGACUUUCAUGUAUUGUAUAUCCUGAAAGAGAAGAUUCCGGUAGAAUGGUUGCCAAUAAAAUGGAAUGGAAACUAAAAAGGGAAACAACGUGUUAGCAAAAAUAUCUGUAGUUUAUUUACAAGAAAAUAGGAAUAAGUAUGAUCUUUUAGAAUAAAGACUCAACAACAUUG